AGCGAACGCUGGCGGCAGGCCUAACACAUGCAAGUCGAGCGCCCAGCAAUGGGAGCGGCAGACGGGUGAGUAACGCGUGGGGAUCUGCCCGAUGGUACGGAAUAAUUCCGGGAAACUGGGACUAAUACCGUAUGUGCCCGCAAGGGGAAAGAUUUAUCGCCAUCGGAUGAACCCGCGUCGGAUUAGCUAGUUGGUGUGGUAAAGGCGCACCAAGGCGACGAUCCGUAGCUGGUCUGAGAGGAUGAUCAGCCACACUGGGACUGAGACACGGCCCAGACUCCUACGGGAGGCAGCAGUGGGGAAUAUUGGACAAUGGGCGCAAGCUUGAUCCAGCCAUGCCGCGUGAGUGAUGAAGGCCUUAGGGUUGUAAAGCUCUUUCGCCGGUGAAGAUAAUGACUGUAGCCGGAGAAGAAGCCCCGGCUAACUUCGUGCCAGCCGCCGCAGUAAUAC
rnacentral:rRNA from 1 species